AGGGCUGUAGCUCAGUGGUAGAGCACCUGGCUUUGCAUGCAGAAGGUCCCAGGUUCAAUCCCCAGGAUCUCUG